rnacentral:rRNA from 1 species
AUUGAACGCUGGCGGCAGGCCUAACACAUGCAAGUCGAGCGAGCGGCGGACGGGUGAGUCAUGUCUGGGAACCUGCCUGAUGGAGGGGGAUAACUACUGGAAACGGUAGCUAAUACCGCAUACCAUCAGAUGUGCCCAGGUGGGAUUAGCUAGUAGGUGGGGUAACGGCUCCCCUAGGCGACGAUCCCUAGCUGGUCUGAGGGGAUGACCAGCCACACGGGAACUGGGACACGGUCCAGACUCCUACGCGGGGCAGCAGUGGGGAAUAUUGCACAAGGGGCGCAAGCCUGAUGCAGCCAUGCCGCGUGUGUGAAGAAGGCCUUCGGGUUGUAAAGCACUUUCAGCGGGGAGGCGUUACCCGCAGAAGAAGCACCGGCUAACUCCGUGCCAGCAGCCGCGGUAAUA